CUUGGCUUCAUACGACGUGGUAAACCGGAUUACACAAACUCCAGCUCACCAGCAUUUCCCUUGUAGCUGCCAAUGGCAGAAGAAGAAAGCACGGGCACAGAGCCACACAGCCUGCUGUAAUCAGAUAACCUGUUUCAGCCUCUGUGGUGGCUUUUCUGCUCGAACGCGAGCCCUUCACAGCCCAGACGGAGACUGUAUAGAGAACGCCAGGCUUGAGACCCGUGAACCUGUAGGAGAUGCUGUCAGCUCCUACUCGAACCUCCUGGCCGGAGCCGUCUAGAGAGCUGUAUUUCAGCAUGUAGCCAUCAAUGUCAGCCUGCACCUUGUUCCACGUCACCGAAGCUGAGUCCUCUGUCACCUCUUGCGUUAAGAGGUUAGUAGGAGCGUCUAUAUCUAAAAAGCCAGUUGUACAACAGUGUUAAUGCUUUAAGCGGUUGUUCCUGUUGGUCUGCUUCAUGUUC
rnacentral:lncRNA from 1 species